AUACCAUGAUGUGGGCAUUUCCUUAGCAACUCUUUAAAUCUUUCCCAUGCAUCAUAAACUGAUUUCUCUUCUAUUUGGUAGAAAUUAUUAGUUUCCCCUCUCAACUU